CCUUGACAUCCAGAGAACUUAGCAGAGAUGCUUGGUGCCUUCGGGAACUCUGAGACAGGUGCUGCAUGGCUGUCGUCAGCUCGUGUUGUGAAAUGUUGGGUUAAGUCCGCAACGAGCGCAACCCUUAUCCUUUGUUGCCAGCGGUUCGGCCGGGAACUCAAAGGAGACUGCCGGUGAUAAACCGGAGGAAGGUGGGGAUGACGUCAAGUCAUCAUGGCCCUUACGGCCAGGGCUACACACGUGCUACAAUGGCGCAUACAAAGAGAAGCGACCUCGCGAGAGCAAGCGGACCUCAUAAAGUGCGUCGUAGUCCGGAUUGGAGUCUGCAACUCGACUCCAUGAAGUCGGAAUCGCUAGUAAUCGUAGAUCAGAAUGCUACGGUGAAUACGUUCCCGGGCCUUGUACACACCGCCCGUCACACCAUGGGAGUGGGUUGCAAAAGAAGUAGGUAGCUUAACCUUCGGGAGGGCGCUUACCACUUUGUGAUUCAUGACUGGGGUGAAGUCGUAACAAGGUAGGCGUACGUGU
rnacentral:rRNA from 1 species